CCCAAAUUACAGCCACGAGUGUCCGGACUCUCAUCCCUCAUCAGGCAGCGCCUGCCCUGGACUGGGGACAGAUGAGGAUGGGAUAACUGGGGGCACCUGCACCCCCACUACCCCAGCAGGACAGUGGGGGAGCUGAGUGGGUCUUCGCCAGGCCUCACGGGUGAAAUGAAGAAAGGGGCUUAGGCGUGGGGUGUGUGGGGAAGCAGGACUCAAGCCGUCUCAGUGCUCAGAUCCCUUCGUGGGAGGGGCCUGCUGGGUCAGAAUGGGCCCUGCCUGUUCCCCACCCAGCCCUUCCCAUCUGACCCUUCCCCUCCCUAGCCUGGAGCCCACACAGAAGUGGGGGGUGCACAGUCAGAGGUCAUCCUACCCCAGCAGAGCCCUCCCGAAAGGGGGUGGGGGCGGGCGGAGACAGAAUGUUCUGUCCCUUACUCUGUGUGCCAGCCCCUCUGGCCCGAGAGCACUUCCUCAGCCAGCCGCCCAUGUAACACUUGCUUCCUCCUGAGGUCACUGCGAUGGACCCCUUUUCCCAGAUGAAGCGACUGGAGUCUCACGGUGGACACAGGAUUCCGGGGAAGUACAGCAUGUGGGGCCCAAGGGUGGCCCUGACCCUCAGCAGCCCUGAGGUGUCAGCCUCUAUAGUCGCUGUCCUGGAGGGCGUGUUCCGGACCCUGGGCUUUGAGAGCUGCCAGAGGAGGGAGGCCUCUGUCCAGGGCUUCCUUGGGGAGCUGGCCGCUUUCCGGGAGCAGCUGGAUGCCCUCGGGGGCCCUGUGGGCUGUGCCUUAGUGGCCUUGGUGGCCCCCAGUGGGCAGCUGAAGCAGCCCCAGCAGCUGGUCCGGGAGCUGAGCCGCUGUGGGGCCCUCUGGGGCCGCCCCAAAGUUUUCCUUCUGCUCUCAAGUGCUCCUGGGGCUGCCCCCGAGCCCGGAGCCUUCCUCACUGGCUUGAGUGAGCUGUGUGGCCGCUUUCCUCACUGGUCUCUGCUGCAGCUGCUGACAGAGGUCUUCUGCAGGACAGCUGAAGAGUCCGAGGCCACCUACUGUCCAGUCCUUCGGAGCUCCUUGCGGGGCGCACUGUGCCUGGGCGACGUGGAGCCCUGGGGGCCCGAGCCAGAACCCAGCCCCACUGUUCGGUAUGACCUGUCUGGGACCAGGGCCGCCCUCCUCCUGUCCGUGAUCCACGGCCGGCCUGGGGCCCAGCACGAUGUGGAGGCGCUGGGGACCCUGUGCCAGGCCCUGAGCUUCAAGACCACGCUAAGGACAGACCCCACGGCCCAGGCUUUCCAGGAGGAGCUGGCCCAGUUCCGGGAGUGCCUAGACGCCCACAGGGCCCCAGUGAGCUGUGCCCUUGUGGCCCUGAUGGCCCACGGGGGGCCACAGGGACAGCUGCUGGGGGCUGACGGGCGGGAGGUACGGCCAGAGGCCCUGGUGCAGGAGCUGAGCCGCUGCAGGGCCCUGUGCGGCUGCCCCAAGAUCUUUCUGCUUCAGGCUUGCCGUGGGGGGCAUAGGGACGCCGGUGUGGGGCCCGCAGGUCUCCCUUGGUUCCGGCGCUGGCUGCGGGCAUCACCCACCACCCCCUCGCAUGCCGAUGUCCUCCAGAUCUAUGCUGAUGCCCAAGGCAGCUCUCCCUUCCCCACUGCAGGGAGCUCUGACCAAGCAGACAUCCUGACGGUCUAUGCAGCUGCCGAGGGCUGUGUAGCCUAUCGGGAUGAGACAGGCUCAGACUUUAUCCAGACGCUGGUGGAGGUCUUCAGAGCUGACCCUGGGAGAGAAGUUCUGGAGCUGCUGACUGAGGUCAACCGGCGGGUGUGUCAGCUGGAGGUGCUGGGUCCCGACUGCCCGGAGCGCCGCAAGGCCUGCCUGGAGAUCCGCAGCUCGCUGAGGCGCCGGCUCUGCCUGCAGGCCUGACCGCGCGCCGCUGCCCUGGGGGUGCGGCCGGUGGGAGCCACAGCCCGGCGCCGCCGCCGACUCCACCCGCGGCCCCCCCGUUCCUCAUCUGUCAGUGGGGGAGACAGCCCGGGCGCGGGGCUCGGCCGGCGUGCUAGAAGCGUCUGUGCAUGACCGAGAAUGCGUCCGCUCGCAGGGAGGCGGGGCAGCGGGAGACUGCAGGCAGGGUGCUCGGCACCCAGUAAGGGUGCAUCUGUGCUCCCGGGAGCCAGGCUGGGCCCUCCUUCCUGCGGGCGGAGGGGCUGAGGAGCCCAGCACGGGCCAGGCUGGGCUGGAUGUUCCGAGCAGGGGCAGCCGGGGCCCACGUCGCGGUCUCAGCUCCCGCAUCCCGGCGGCGCCCCGCGCCGGGCCGCGGAAAUGCAGGAGACGCGGUCACAGUCUAGUCUGGAGCCAUGACACUCUGGACCGAGCCUUGCAGGUGGAUCGGUACUGUGAAUGAGGGGAAACAGGGCCUGGGGAGCGCUGGGCAGCUCCCGAGUCAACGCGCUCCGGGGCCACGUGGGGGAAGAGUUCCAAAGGCGCCUCUUAGGGCAGGAAGGGCCUGCGCGGCCUCACCGGGGCUCGAACUCGUAAGCACAAGUCAGGGAGGGCGGUUCUCGCGGAGCCGCCUGGGCUCCUCUAGGCGCCGGGCCCCGGCUCCGCCCACAUAAAGCCCGAGGGGGCGGAGCUCCUUGCCAGUAGGAGCAUGCGUAUUGCAGUACAACACGCAGGCGCCUGAAUCAGCUUUAUGAGAAACGCGGUGGGAGCGCCACCGGCGGGGCCGCGUGGCCUAAUGGAUAAGGCGUCUGAUUCCGGAUCAGAAGAUUGAGGGUUCGAGUCCCUUCGUGGUCGCUGCGCAGCUUGUUUUUCUCCCUCCGCUUUGCCUUUUCCCUCGGUCGGGACUGCGCCCUCCGCGAAACCCUAGGUCGCCUGGGCCGUGCCCCGCCCGCUGCCCCGCCCUCCGGCACCUUGGCAGCCGCCGCGCGCCUGCAAGGGCGGAGCUCAGGAGCCAGCGCCUGGUCCGCACGCCCGCGCCCCCGAGGAGCUGCGAGGCCCACCGGUGGCCGGAACCUGAAGCCACCGGCCGCGAGUCCCGGGGCCCACGAGGGACUGGCUGCACGAAUACAGUCCUGAGGACCAGAGCUGUAGCACAUGAGAGGUUGGACCUUUGGGCGCGGGGGGCGCGGGGGGCGCGGGGGGCGCGGGGGGCGCGGGGGGCGCGGGGGGGGGGGCAUGAGAAUUGUUCCAAGGGCUCAGGAGACAAGUGCGUUCCAAACUAUAAUAGAUUAUCGUGAUUAAAAAAAAGUUUUGGAAAUUCUGGUGACGGUUGGAUGAUAUUGUGCAUGUAACUGAUGCCACUGAAUUGAAUUGUACGCUUAAAAAUGGCUAAAUUGGCUAUAGCGUUAUAUACACAUUUUUAACAGAAUAAAAUGUUUUAAAAAUCUAAUAGAUUAUUUGGAUUUCUUGCAAUGAUAGUGUACCCUUAAAUGACUAGUGUGGGUGUAUAUUUAAACGUUUAAAUAUAAACAAUAUGCCCAGGGUUGGGUUAUCAUUUUACCUGGGGAAAAAAAUGUCUCCACUUGAGGAACUGUGUUCUCGCCAAAGGAGUCUGGCUAAGCCAGCUCACCUAGGUGACUUGACCUCCUCCCACCGGGUGACCGCUGGGGCAGUGGCAGCCGGAGCCCACAUUCCGGAAGGUGCGCGCAGGUACCCUGGGGUCAUGUGGGGUGUUACCGUGUUUGUGGUGCUUCGGUGGUUUGAAGCUUCUUUAGGACCAACAUUUUGGAGGUGAGAAAGAACACCCAUCCUCUGGUGGGAAAGCUAAUGCUGGGUUCUCAUCCUCACGGGCACAGCCAGCCGAUCAGAUAUGGGGCCACUAGGGAGGCCACUGAGCUCUGUUAAAACCGCGGAGACCUGAGCCCAGGUAACACCUCUUGUCUGCGGGCCAGUGUAGGGAGGAGGACAAGGACAGGGAUGGCGCUUUUCCCACUCUCCCGGCUGGCAACCCCGUCCUCUCGUCCCCGACGUUUUGCGUAGCCAGCUCCUUCUUGCUAAUAGAUAGUUACCAACGAGCCCGGAUUCUCCCGCAAGGAGAAGGAAAGGGCUCGCCCAGGCUUUGAUGCCCAGUCUUCUCGCACCCUAAGCGAGGAUCACACUGUAGGCCAAAGAGCUGAGCUGACACCUGUGGCCCCGGUUCUUUAGGUUCCAUCUGCGUGUGCGCGGUCCCUCCGGGGUCCCAGGACGCUCAGGAGCAGGUGAACACCGGGUGAAUGCGGGUGCUGAGGGGGCAGGAUGGAGACCGGGACGGAGCGGGGAGGCUGUGCGUCAUUUGUGGGAACCACGGGGAGGUGACCGAGAGACUGGUCUAGGACCAUUACGAGGUGUCUGCCACCGGCCCCGGUGGCCUAAUGGAUAAGGCAUUGGCCUCCUAAGCCAGGGAUUGUGGGUUCGAGUCCCACCCGGGGUACGAGGGGUUAAAUUUUAGACCUCUGCCAAAGAAAAAACCCAAUCGAUUCCCUAGUGGAGGAAGCAAGUUCCUGGAGUUUUUCCAGACGCAGACCUAAGCUACUGACAAUUCACUGCAACUCUAUUUUCUAAUAAGGGGUGCGCGUUUCCAGCUUUCACAAAAGAAUACUUGCGUCGUUCAAAUUUUUCAAAUAACCAUCCAUUCUACCAUCCUUUUCUCGUAAUAUAAAGGAAUAAUUGCUCGUUUUCCCAGGUGUAUUAAUUUUAUUGUGGUUUCAUAUAUUUUUAAGAGUUCUUCUCUUUUAUAAACAGAUCCAAUCAUUUAGAGAUUAAAUUAUAUGACAACUGUUGUGCUUUAAAACAGCGGACCGAGUGCUGAUUAUGGUUAGUAAUAUGUUCCGCACACCUGAAAGUUGCUGUGAGAGGAGAUCUGGAGCCUUGUCACCACGCACACAGAAAAAGUAACUAUGUGAACUGAUGGAUGUGUUGACUUCACAGUGGUAAAUAUUUCACAAAUGUAUUGGUAAAUAAUUGGUAAAUAUUUCACAAUCACAUUGUACACCUUCAAUGUAUUUCUUGUUAUUUGUCAAUUAUAUCUCAGUAAAGCUAGGGAAAAAUAAUGAGUUGGAUGGAGGUGUAGACGAAACAAGCCUAUCUGUGAAUUGAUAAUGGCUUAAACUGAGGGGCAGGACACAUUAUACUAUUUCUCUGCUUUAGUGCAUGUUUGAAAUAGACCAUAAUAAAGCUUUCUCUCUCAGGGCCCCUGGGUGGCUCAGUCAGUUAAGCGUUGGACGUCGGCUCAGGUCAUGAUCUCACGGUUCGUGAGUUCAAGCCCCGCCUUGGGCUCUGUGGUGACAGCUCGGAGCCUGGAACCUGCUUCGGAUCCUGUGUCUCCCUCUCUCUCUGCCCCUCCCUUGCUCAUGCUCUGUCUUUCUCAAAAAUAAGCAAACAUUUAAAAAAAGAUAAAAAUGAAGUUUUCUCUCCUUUUAAUCCAUGCAAUCUCUGUCUUCAUCCCGAAGUAAGAAUCUCCCAAGCUUCGGGACAGGAAGCAGAGUAACAUCAGCCUCCUAUUCCACGUGCCCGUAGAAAGGAUGACCACUGGAGCUUUAUAAACACAUAUAAAAUACAGUUCUCUUUUGCCUUUAGAAACCACGAACGAGACUCUUCUGUUCAUCCAGCUUCGGCCUUGCUUCUUCCACUUUCCCAAACAUCUGGGGCCCCGUUGUCGCCACUGGAGUCAAGGACCUCAUCUCAGUGCCGUGUCUCCCAUCAUCGAGGGCGACCUGAGGAGAAUGGGGACCACAGAGCUAUCCAAGGGUGCUGCUGCUUCCUGCUUCCCUCGCUGACAUUUCUCAAUGCCUCACUGAGCGGAAUGUUCUCCGGGCGCUCGGGGGCAGGGGGCGGCUGUGCCCGUCGUGUGUGACACAUCCCCGCCAGCACUGCCGUCUCCCUGUCUUUGGCUUCCUUUCUCUGCUUGAUGAAGUUCUCACACGUGUCUCCUUAAACAUAUGCUACCACGGAGUUCAACGCUGAGCCAACCAACCAAGAAACCUAAGAGAGCCACAGUCAGCCGCACAGGUGAGCCAACCAGCGCCCCCAGAAGAACCCCUUUCACGCCACUAUUCUCAUAAUCACCUUUACUGCCACGGCAGUAUAGGACAGCAGCCGCAGGGUCCUUCAGGGCGAUGCUUUGGUCAGCACUCCAUCACGACCGACCAGGUGGCGUGCGGCUCGAUCUCGAUGCCACCACAUGCCGUGGAUUACCAGCAACCCCUUUCCCGUUGGCAAGGAGCUCAGUGGCAUUUGAGCCCAAAUUCAUUACCAAAUCAGGGUCCAGGCAGCAGUCAGAAAACCCAUCUGUGGGUGUUGGGGAGAAAGAGGGCAGGUUGGUUAAAGGGCACAAACUUUCCAUUGUGAGACGAAUAGGGUGAGGGGAUCUCACAUACAGCAUGGCAAUGAUAGUUAAUAUUGUAUCGUAUGCUUGAAAUUUGCUAAGGGAGUGGAUCUUCAGUGUUCUGACCACACACACACACACAUACACACACACGGUGACCAUGUGAGAUGAUGCAUGUGUUCAUUCACGAUUACCCUGUGUUGAUUACGGUAAUCAUUUCACAAUGUAUACAUAUAUCAAACUAUCACAUCAAACACCUUCAGUAUACACGGUUUUUGUCAAUGAUAACGAACCUGGGUAGAAAAGAAAAGCCAUCUGUU